ACUCGGUACGCGCGGAUCUUCCAGAGAUUAGAGUUUGAUCCUGGCUCAGGACGAACGCUGGCGGCGUGCUUAACACAUGCAAGUUGAACGGUCUGACAUGGAAGCUUGCUGAAGUGUCGGGUAGUAGCGGACGGGUGAGUAAUGCAUGAGAAGCUGCCAUUGGGAGGGGGACAACAGUUGGAAACGGCUGCUAAUACCCCAUAUGCCGAAAGGUGAAAGGGAGCGAUCCGCCCGAUGAGGUGCUCAUGUCCUAUCAGCUGGUUGGUGAGGUAACGGCUCACCAAGGCGACGACGGGUAGCCGGCCUGAGAGGGUGACCGGCCACACUGGAACUGAGAUACGGUCCAGACUCCUACGGGAGGCAGCAGUGGGGAAUAUUGGGCAAUGGGGGCAACC
rnacentral:rRNA from 1 species